GUUUGCUUAGGUAGUACAUUUAUUAAUAUUGGAAUGACACAGAGAAGAUUAACCAAUCCCCUGUGCAAGAAUGACCCCAAACAUAAAGCACUGCACACACACACA